GCCAGGCACAGUGGCGUGCACCUGUAGUCCUAGCUACUCGGGAGGCUGAAGCAGGAGGAUUGCUUGAGCCCAGGAAUUCGAGGCUGCAGUGAACAGUGAUUGUGCCACUGCACUUCCGCCUGGGCGUCAGAAUGAGACCCUGUCUCUA
ensembl:misc_RNA Metazoa_SRP Metazoan signal recognition particle RNA